CCUACGGGUGGCAGCAGUCGAGAAUCAUUCACAAUGGGGGAAACCCUGAUGGUGCGACGCCGCGUGGGGGAAUAAAGGUCUUCGGAUUGUAAACCCCUUUCAUGUGGGAGGAAAUGAAAAAGAUAGUACCACAAGAGGAAGAGACGGCUAACUCUGUGCCAGCAGCCGCGGUAAUACAGAGGUAUCAAGCGUUGUUCGGAAUUACUGGGCGUAAGGCGUGGGGAGGCUGUUUCGUAAGGCUGGUGUGAAAGGCGCGGGCUUAACCCGCGGACUGCACAUGAGACUGUGAGACUAGAGUGAAGGAGAGGGAACCGGAAUGCUCGGUGUAGCAGUGAAAUGCGUAGAGAUCG
rnacentral:rRNA from 1 species